GAUGAAGAACGUAGCGAAAUGCGAUACUUGGUGUGAAUUGCAGAAUCCCGUGAACCAUCGAGUCUUUGAACGCAAGUUGCGCCCGAAGCCACUAGGCCGAGGGCACGCCUGCCUGGGCGUCACACGCCGUUGCCCCCCCAUCUACUCCUUCGGGAUUGCGGGGGGGCGGAUGAUGGCCUCCCGUGCGCCUAGCCGCGCGGUUGGCAUAAAUACCAAGUCCUCGGCGACGCACGCCACGACAAUCGGUGGUUGCGAAACCUCGGUUGCCCGUCGUGUGCGGUCGUCGCGCAUCGAGGGCUCGAAAAAAUUGCCGGGUUCCGGCUCGGCUUUCAACGCGACCCCAGGUCAGGCGGGGUUACCCGCUGAAUUUAAGCAUAUCAAUAAGCGGAGGA
rnacentral:misc_RNA from 1 species